UGAUGGUGACUCUGUUGGUGACACUGGACAGGUGCAACCAGGGAGUGAUGUUUAUGGGACGACAGGGACGCCGUGGUUCAACGCCGGGCUUAUUGGAAGGAUAAUAUCCCUGUGAACGAAGAAACCAGAGAACCCCAGAGCUGUGGUGCGUUAUGGUCCUGCACAAACGGGAAGAGUGGAAAAAAAGACAGAAGCUCUAGAGAGACCUGUCAGAGCGAGCAGCUAUGGCAGAACACGGCCCGGAUCGGGUUCUGAGAUUCUACCGUCAGCAAACACAGGAGAUGCAUCUUUGCUGAGAGGUUCAUCCAUUUAAGAGCAGAAAUUUUAUAAUAGAUGUCUUUAGAAUAAAACCUUUUGUUAUUAAAAUGGAUUUGACAUUUUUUCAAAUAAAAAAGUUCAAAUUUGGGUCAUAUUGCAAAACCUAAAUGCAGGUUUCAAAAACAGUUGUACUAAUUCUGGAUUGUUUCUGUUUAAAUAAAACUAAAGAACAAAAAAA